GACGAACGCUGGCGGCGUGCUUAACACAUGCAAGUCGAACGGAAAGGCCCUGCUUGCUGGGUACUCGAGUGGCGAACGGGUGAGUAACACGUGGGUGUUCUGCCCUGCACUUCGGGUUAAGCCUGGGAAACUGGGUCUAUUCCCGGAUAGUAGCCAUUUUGAGUGUGAUGGUUGGUAAGUUUUUUCGGUGUAGGAUGAGCUGGCGGCCUAUCAGCUUGUUGGUGGGGUAAUGGCCUACCAAGGCGGCGACGGGUAGCCGGCCUGAGAGGGUGGACGGCCACAGUGGGACUUAGAGACGGCCGAGGCGGCGAAGGGAGGAAGCAGUGGGGAAGAUUGAACAAUGGGCGCAAGCCUGGUGCAGAGAGGCCGCGUGGGGGAUGACGGCCUUAGGGUUGAAAACUGCUUGCGCGAGGGACGAAGCUUUUUGUGACGGUACCUAGAUAAGAAGCACCGGCUAACUACGUG
rnacentral:rRNA from 1 species